GGUCAAAGGAGGAGCAGGGAGAGCCUAAGGCAGGAAGGGAGCAGGGAGAGCAUGAGGCUCUCCCCGAUCCUCCUCUGCCUCAUGCUCUCCCUGCUCCCCUUCUGCCUUAGGCUCUCCCUGCUCUUCCUUUGACCA